rnacentral:rRNA from 1 species
GAAUUUUAUAUUAAUAAAUAAAUUAUAGUAAAUUUAAAUUAUUUAUUAAUAUUUUAUUGGGAGGAUAAUUAAAUUUAAAAAACUUUAAUAAAUUUUUAAUUACAUAAAUUUAUGAAUUUAAGAUUAUGGAAUAAAUAAUAUUAGAAUUAAUUACCUUAGGGAUAACAGCGUAAAAUUUUUAGAAAGAUCAUAUUAAUAAAAAUAUUUGC